ACAGAGGGUGCGAGCGUUAAUCGGAAUAACUGGGCGUAAAGGGCGCGUAGGUGGUUUAUUGCGUCAGACGUGAAAGUCCUGGGCUUAACCUGGGGACUGCGUUUGAUACGGGUAAGCUAGAGUGAAGUAGAGGGUAGUAGAAUUCCCGGUGUAGCGGUGAAAUGCGUAGAUAUCGGGAGGAAUACCGGUGGCGAAGGCGGCAUCCUGGACCGAUACUGACGCUGAUGAGCGAAAGCCAGGGGAGCAAACGGGA
rnacentral:rRNA from 1 species